UACGUAGGGGGCAAGCGUUGUCCGGAAUCAUUGGGCGUAAAGCGCGUGUAGGCGGCUCGGUAAGUCUGCUCUGAAAGCCUGGGGCUCAACCCUGGGAGGCGGGUGGAUACUGCUGAGCUCGAGUCCGGAAGAGGCGAGUGGAAUUCCUGGUGUAGCGGUGAAAUGCGCAGAUAUCAGGAGGAACACCAAUGGCGAAGGCAGCUCUCUGGGACGGUACUGACGCUGAGACGCGAAAGCGUGGGGAGCGAACAGG
rnacentral:rRNA from 1 species